rnacentral:rRNA from 1 species
AUACGGAGGGGGUUAGCGUUGUUCGGAAUUACUGGGCGUAAAGCGUACGUAGGCGGACUGGAAAGUUGGGGGUGAAAUCCCGGGGCUCAACCCCGGAACUGCCUCCAAAACUUCCAAUCUAGAGAUCGAGAGAGGUGAGUGGAAUUCCAAGUGUAGAGGUGAAAUUCGUAGAUAUUUGGAGGAACACCAGUGGCGAAGGCGGCUCACUGGCUCGAUGCUGACGCUGAGGUACGAAAGCGUGGGGAGCAAACAGGAUUAGAAACCCUAGUAGUCC